rnacentral:rRNA from 1 species
UGGAUCCAGACUUUGAUUAUGGCUCAGGAUGAACGCUAGCUACAGGCUUAACACAUGCAAGUCGAGGGGAAACGAUAGAGAAAGCUUGCUUUUUCUAGGCCUCGACCGGCGCACGGGUGAGUAACGCGUAUCCAACCUGCCCACCACUUGGGGAUAACCUUGCGAAAGUAAGACUAAUACCCAAUGAUAUCUCUAGAAGACAUCUGAAAGAGAUUAAAGAUUUGUCGGUGAUGGAUGGGGAUGCGUCUGAUUAGCUUGUUGGCGGGGUAACGGCCCACCAAGGCGACGAUCAGUAGGGGUUCUGAGAGGAAGGUCCCCCACAUUGGAACUGAGACACGGUCCAAACUCCUACGGGAGGCAGCAGUGAGGAAUAUUGGUCAAUGGACGAGAGUCUGAACCAGCCAAGUAGCGUGCAGGAUGACGGCCCUAUGGGUUGUAAACUGCUUUUAUAAGGGAAUAAAGUUAGUCUCGUGAGACUUUUUGCAUGUACCUUAUGAAUAAGGACCGGCUAAUUCCGUGCCAGCAGCCGCGGUAAUACGGAAGGUCCGGGCGUUAUCCGGAUUUAUUGGGUUUAAAGGGAGCGUAGGCCGGAGAUUAAGCGUGUUGUGAAAUGUAGACGCUCAACGUCUGCACUGCAGCGCGAACUGGUUUCCUUGAGUACGCACAAAGUGGGCGGAAUUCGUGGUGUAGCGGUGAAAUGCUUAGAUAUCACGAAGAACUCCGAUUGCGAAGGCAGCUCACUGGAGCGCAACUGACGCUGAAGCUCGAAAGUGCGGGUAUCGAACAGGAUUAGAUACCCUGGUAGUCCGCACGGUAAACGAUGGAUGCCCGCUGUUGGUCUGAAUAGGUCAGCGGCCAAGCGAAAGCAUUAAGCAUCCCACCUGGGGAGUACGCCGGCAACGGUGCAACUCAAAUGAAUUGACGGA